CCAUGUGGGCCGAGUCAUGUUUGAAAUGGCGUGAGGCUGGGUUGGGCCGAGUCAUGUUCGAAAUAGCGUGAGGCUGGUUGGGCCGAGUCACAAUCGAGACCCGUGGGCGCUGUAUCUGUACGCUUUAAGCGAAUUGGUUGCGUAUUUCUAACAACUCGAGCUUUUAAAAUUAAUGGUUAGCGUCAACGAUCCGAUAGUCUGCAGCAUGAAUAUCCUAGCAGCUCUAGAGGAGCGUGCUCACCUUUUAGAGAGUUGUCAG
rnacentral:lncRNA from 1 species